AGUGAACGCUGGCGGUAGGCCUAACACAUGCAAGUCGAACGGCAGCACAGUAAGAGCUUGCUCUUACGGGUGGCGAGUGGCGGACGGGUGACGCAUACAUCGCAAUCUACUUUUUCGUGGGGGAUAACGUAGGGAAACUUACGCUAAUACCUCAUACGAUCAACCGGUGAAAGCAGGGGAUCUUCGGACCUUGCGUGAUUGAAUGAGCCGAUGUCGGAUUAGCUAGUUGGCGGGGUAAAGGCCCACCAAGGCAACGAUCCGUAGCUGGUCUGAGAGGAUGAUCAGCCACACUGGAACUGAGACACGGUCCAGACUCCUACGGGAGGCAGCAGUGGGGAAUAUUGGACAAUGGGCGCAAGCCUGAUCCAGCCAUGCCGCGUGGGUGAAGAAGGCCUUCGGGUUGUAAAGCCCUUUUGUUGGGAAAGAAAAGCAGCAGGUUAAUACCCCGCUGUUCUGACGGUACCCAAAGAAUAAGCACCGGCUAACUUCGUG
rnacentral:rRNA from 1 species